rnacentral:rRNA from 1 species
UACGGGGGGGGCAAGCGUUGUUCGGAAUUACUGGGCGUAAAGGGCGCGUAGGCGGCUCGUUAAGUCGGGUGUGAAAACUCUGGGCUCAACCCAGAGCCUGCAUUCGAAACUGACGAGCUAGAGUUCUGGAGGGGAAAGCGGAAUUCCUGGUGUAGCGGUGAAAUGCGUAGAUAUCAGGAGGAACACCGGUGGCGAAGGCGGGCUUCUGGGA